UGCCUGACGGCAUUAGCGCCGUGGAACCACCUGAUCCCAUGCCGAACUCAGAAGUGAAACGCGGUAGCGUCGAUGGUAGUGUGGCAUUCGCCAUGCGAGAGUAGAACACUGUCAGGCA
rnacentral:rRNA from 1 species